CCUACGGGAGGCAGCAGUAGGGAAUCUUUCACAAUGGGCGAAAGCCUGAUGGAGCAACGCCGCGUGCAGGAUGAAGGCCUUCGGGUUGUAAACUGCUUUUAUAAGCGAGAAAUAUGAUGGUAACUUAUGAAUAAGGAUCGGCUAACUCCGUGCCAGCAGCCGCGGUCAUACGGAGGAUCCGAGCAUUAUCCGGAGUGACUGGGUGUAAAGGGUUGCGUAGUUGGCACAAUAAGUAUCUAGUGAAAUCUGGUGGCUCAACCAUUCAGACGAUUAGAUAUACUGUUAAGCUCGAGACCGGCAGGGGUAACUGGAAUUUCUAGUGUAGGAGUGAAAUCCGUAGAUAUUAGAAGGAACACCAAUAGCGAAGGCAGGUUGCUGGGACGGUUCUGACACUAAGGCACGAAAGCGUAGGGAGCAAACGGGAUUAGAUACCCUAGUAGUC
rnacentral:rRNA from 1 species